rnacentral:lncRNA from 10 species
CAAAGAGCCCCUCCUUGAGCUCUGGGUCAAGGCUGUCAGUGAUGGUGAAAGCACAGGAAUCUGCCUUUUUUCCCAGAGAUUCCUCAUGAUUCUUUAGCUCAAAGGAGUUGUCUUCAGUGUCACAACUGUUGAUCUGAAAAAGGAAACCUGCAGAUCUGCAAAACAAGGCUCCUGGGAACCACCCACCACUUAUAACUUUCAACAGUGAAGUCAAAUAAGAUUGAGGAAGCUCCUGAAGAAGUCUUAUGUCCUCCCAAGUACUUAAAGCUUUCACCAAAACACCCAGAAUCAAAUACUGCUGGAAUGGACAUCUUUGCCAAAUUCUCUGCAUAGAUCAAGAAUUCAAGGCCAGAGGUUAAUGAAGCAUGAGUGAAGCAUCUCUUAAAAACCCUGCAGAAAAUGGUGAUUAUUAAAAAGUAAAAUAAAAGUUAAAAAAAAAACUGCAAAAACUUAUGAAUAUCUGAAUUCUCCUCUCCCUGAUGAAAUUGAUGAAAAUAGCAUGCAGGACACUAAGUUUUCUACACAUAAAUUUCUGAAUGGCAAUAAAAUGGCAUUAGCUGAUUGCCAUCUGCUGCCCAAACUGCAUAUUGUCAAAAAAAAAGGAAUGACUGGCAUCUGGAGAUACCUAACGAAUACAAGUAGUAGGGAUAUGUUCAACAAUACCUGUCCCAAUGAUAAAGAGAUUGAAAUAGCAGCAGAAACAGUUAAUGUAGUAAU